AUGAUUAAAGAGGUGGAGAAAAACAGAGAAUGAUUGAAGGAAAUUGGAAAAUGUUCACUGAGAGUGUAACUGUUGACUGAUUAUGUGUGCAUCCUUCUGUGGGUGUGUGUGUAUUUAUGUCGCAAAAAUAGGAAAACAUGACUCAAAAUGAUGGCUACACAGAAUUAUGGUGAAUAAAACAAGACAAAGAGAAGUGGGGGCAACAUAAGUGGUAUAGACAGGGCACGGCAUCUCAGACCAUGCUUCAUUUCAUGUGACAGAAAUGACAAGACUUUAUGCGUGUGUGUGUAUGUGUGUGUCUGUUUGUUUUUUGUUUUUUUUUUUACCUGAAGAAAAAAAAUGUUCCAGAUUUAAACUUCUUCUACUAUGAAAUCUGAUCAGCUUUAAGAGCUUAAUAUAUUUUCUGUAAGCUUAACCCACUUUUUAUAGAAAGGAAAAACUUUUUGUCAAAUAGCAUGGCACAGAGUGACAGGUAAUAUGAGCAAAACAACUCAAACCUGACCUACUUUGUUUGUCAACAUAUACUGAAAUGUAAAAAUGUCGCAAGAUUUGUUGGUUUGAAAGAAAACAGAGCAACCGGAGAAAUAUAUGGGUUGUCUUUUUUAGUUUGUUUUUUUUUCUUUUGUCACACUCCAUCUAUAACUGGUUAGUAUGCUUGUAAACUUAAAAGUCAACAAAGCAAAGGACACGAAUAGAAAUACAGUCUUUGGGUUCAGUCAACCCUGGUCUCAUCUGCAGCUCCCCAAUUAAGGGUUGCAAAGGAAGAGGAGGUUCAUCAGCUGGCCUGGAAAAAAUGUGGCACAAACACCCCCCUCUGAGAGGGACGCCUAGGCUCCAGACUGCUUUGACACACGGUCAUAUUAAGAGACACGGCAAAAGCUUAAAGAUGCUUGGCUGUGAAACCCAGGGGUGCCCAGAGUGACGCCUGUGGGCCAAAGUUGGCCUCCUGACCCAGUUAUAUCAGCCCACCCAUGAAACAGAUGAUAAACAUAUGCUGCCCCGACUCCUGAUGCUCACCACUGGAUGCUUAUAUUAAGGCAUCAACUUUAAAAGUUUAAAGCGCAGACGAAAAGACCCAACAGUGGAGUUUAUGGAGCCUAAAGUGUGAUGAUAGGAAUCGUGUGCCACUGUGGACAUGCCUGAUCUGGUAGGAGGGUUGGUCUUGGUCGGUUGGUCCUAGGGCAGGAGACCAACAAGGACUAGUACGUGGU